GGGGAUUUAGCUCAGUGGCAUAAGCACCUGCCUUGCAAGCAUGUAGUCCUGAGUUCAGUCCCCA
rnacentral:tRNA from 1 species